rnacentral:rRNA from 1 species
CAACUUUCAACAACGGAUCUCUUGGCUCCAGCAUCGAUGAAGAACGCAGCGAAAUGCGAUAAGUAUUGUGAAUUGCAGAAUCCAGUGAAUCAUCGAAUCUUUGAACGCACAUUGCGCCCGCCGGAAUUCCGGCGGGCAUGCCUGUUCGAGCGUCAU